rnacentral:rRNA from 1 species
GUGGGGAAUUUUGGACAAUAGGCGCAAGCCUGAUCCAGCAAUGCCGCGUGCAGGAAGAAGGCCUUCGGGUUGUAAACUGCUUUUGUACGGAACGAAACGGUCCGGGUUAAUACCCUGGGCUAAUGACGGUACCGUAAGAAUAAGCACCGGCUAACUACGUGCCAGCAGCCGCGGUAAUACGUAGGGUGCAAGCGUUAAUCGGAAUUACUGGGCGUAAAGCGUGCGCAGGCGGUUUUGUAAGACAGGCGUGAAAUCCCCGGGCUCAACCUGGGAAUUGCGCUUGUGACUGCAAGGCUGGAGUGCGGCAGAGGGGGAUGGAAUUCCGCGUGUAGCAGUGAAAUGCGUAGAUAUGCGGAGGAACACCAAUGGCGAAGGCAAUCCCCUGGGCCUGUACUGACGCUCAUGCACGAAAGCGUGGGGAGCAAACAGGAUUAGAAACCCCAGUAGUCC